ACAGCAGUAGCCGCGGUAAUACAGAGGGUGCAAGCGUUAAUUGGAAUUACUGGGCGUAAAGCGCGCGUAGGUGGUUUGUUAAGUUGGAUGUGAAAUCCCCGGGCUCAACCUGGGAACUGCAUCCAAAACUGGCAAGCUAGAGUAUGGUAGAGGGUGGUGGAAUUUCCUGUGUAGCGGUGAAAUGCGUAGAUAUAGGAAGGAACACCAGUGGCGAAGGCGACCACCUGGACUGAUACUGACACUGAGGUGCGAAAGCGUGGGGAGCAAACAGGAUUAGAUACCCCAGUAGUCCCUGUCUCUUAUAC
rnacentral:rRNA from 1 species